CCCCUAGAUGUUCUGGGCCGCACGCGCGCUACACUGAUGCAUUCAACGAGUCUAAAACCUGGUCUGAUAGGGCUGGGUAAUCUUUUGAAAGUGCAUCGUGAUUGGGAUAGAUGAUUGCAAUUCUUCAUCUUCAACGAGGAAUGCCUAGUAAACGCAAGUCAUCAGCUUGCAUUGAUUACGUCCCUGCCCUUUGUACACACCGCCCGUCGCUCCUACCGAUUGAAUGAUCCGAUGAAUACCAUGGAUUGAGAGUACGAAUGGGUUCGCUCAUUUCUGCUGCUCGAGAAGUGGAGUAAAUCUUAUCAUUUAGAGGAAGGAGAAGUCGUAACA
rnacentral:rRNA from 1 species